CCUGUUCCCGUAGGGGGAAGGUGAGAACCUUCGACAAGGUUCGAGUCGAGCAUAGCGAGACAACGUGCGCAGCACGGCCCGAAGGGCGAGGAACGAAGUGACGAGUCAUCCUUCCCCCACCACCA
rfam:Lonsdalea quercina strain ATCC 29281 genome assembly, contig: Ga0052894_scaffold00002.2